rnacentral:sRNA from 1 species
CUUCCCCGGCCUCGUCAUCAAGAUCACGCCGUCCAAGCCCAGGUAGAUUACCACAAAUCACAUCGACACGGGAUAUGGACUCCAUCGCCACUCGAGGGAUGAACUGGUCAACGUGUAUGAAACACACAAGUGUUCGUCCGAGAGCAUCGCGCAGGCCUGGAAUGGAUCGAUGCAUCAAAACGCGCGAUCUGGAUUCGAUCGAUGUAUCUCUGCAAAUGUAACUGGCAAGGAACAUCAGUUCUGAUAUGUGAAUAUACACGCGAUCCUAGUGCAAUUCUAUG